UACGGAGGAUGCGAGCGUUAUCCGGAUUUAUUGGGUUUAAAGGGUGCGUAGGCGGAUUUUUAAGUCAGCGGUAAAAUGUCCGGGCUCAACCCGGGCCGGCCGUUGAAACUGGCAGUCUCGAGUUGGAGAGAAGUAUGCGGAAUGCGCGGUGUAGCGGUGAAAUGCAUAGAUAUUACACAGAACACCGAUUGCGAAGGCAGCUUGCUAGGCCGGAUCUGACACUGAUGCACGAAAGCGUGGGGAGCGAACAGG
rnacentral:rRNA from 1 species